GGGGUUGUGGCUCAGAGGUAGAGAGCUUGCCUAAUAUGCAGGAGGCACUGGGUUUGAUUCUCAGCAACACAU
rfam:Ictidomys tridecemlineatus contig069195, whole genome shotgun sequence.